rnacentral:rRNA from 1 species
AUAACCGCUGAAAGCAUCUAAGUGGGAAGCCCACCUCAAGAUGAGUGCUCUCACUACUAAAGUAGGUAAGGUCACGGGCAGAACACCCGUUUAUAGGCUCUAUGUGGAAGUACAGUAAUGUAUGUAGCAAAGGAGUACUAACAGACCGAGGGCUUGACCUC